UACAGAGGCCCCGAGCGUUAGGCGGAAUCACUGGGCUUAAAGCGUGUGUAGGCGGACUUCUAAGUGCCUUGUGAAAUCCCACGGCUCACCCGUGGAACUGCUGGGCAUACUGGGAGUCUUGAGCCACCUAGGGGCGAGCGGAACAAAUGGUGGAGCGGUGAAAUGCGUAGAUAUCAUUUGGAACGCCAACGGAGAAAUCAGCUCGCUGGGGGUGUGCUGACGCUGAGACACGAAAGCCAGGGGAGCGAACGGG
rnacentral:rRNA from 1 species